ACGGGUGAGUAACACGUAUCCAACCUGCCGUCUACUCUUGGACAGCCUUCUGAAAGGAAGAUUAAUACAAGAUGGCAUCAUGAGUCCGCAUGUUCACAUGAUUAAAGGUAUUCCGGUAGACGAUGGGGAUGCGUUCCAUUAGAUAGUAGGCGGGGUAACGGCCCACCUAGUCUUCGAUGGAUAGGGGUUCUGAGAGGAAGGUCCCCCACAUUGGAACUGAGACACGGCCCAA
rnacentral:rRNA from 1 species